CAGCCGCCGCGGUAAUACGUAGGUCCCGAGCGUUGUCCGGAUUUAUUGGGCGUAAAGGGAGCGCAGGCGGUUUAGUAAGUCUGGAGUUAAAGGCAUUGGCUCAACCAAUGUAUGCUUUGGAAACUGUUUGACUUGAGUGCAGAAGGGGAGAGUGGAAUUCCACGUGUAGCGGUGAAAUGCGUAGAGAUGUGGAGGAACACCAGUGGCGAAGGCGACUCUCUGGUCUGUAACUGACGCUGAGGAGCGAAAGCGUGGGGAGCGAACAGGAUUAGAGACCCCGGUAGUCCCUGUCUCUUAUACA
rnacentral:rRNA from 1 species